UACCACGUGGGAACCUGCCCUUCAGUGAGGAAUACCGGCGAGAAAUCGCCGACAAGACCGCAUAACCUUCCCUGAUGAGCGUCUGGGAAGGAAAGCUUCGCAAGAGGCGCUGGAGGAGGGGCCUGCGCCCGAUUAGCUAGUUGGUGGGGUAAGAGCCUACCAAGGCGUCGAUCGGUAGCUGGUCUGAGAGGACGAUCAGCCACACUGGGAUUGAGAACGGCCCAG
rnacentral:rRNA from 1 species